rnacentral:rRNA from 1 species
AGAGUUUGAUCCUGGCUCAGGACGAACGCUGGCGGCGUGCCUAACACAUGCAAGUCGAGCGAUGAAGCCUUCGGGUGGAUUAGCGGCGGACGGGUGAGUAACACGUGGGUAACCUGCCUCAAAGAGGGGGAUAGCCUCCCGAAAGGGAGAUUAAUACCGCAUAACAUUAGAUUGUCGCAUGACAGUUUAAUCAAAGCAGUAAUGCACUUUGAGAUGGACCCGCGGCGCAUUAGCUAGUUGGAGAGGUAACGGCUCACCAAGGCGACGAUGCGUAGCCGACCUGAGAGGGUGAUCGGCCACAUUGGAACUGAGACACGGUCCAGACUCCUACGGGAGGCAGCAGUGGGGAAUAUUGCACAAUGGGCGAAAGCCUGAUGCAGCAACGCCGCGUGAGUGAUGAAGGCCUUAGGGUUGUAAAGCUCUGUCUUCUGGGACGAUAAUGACGGUACCAGGGGAGGAAGCCACGGCUAACUACGUGCCAGCAGCCGCGGUAAUACGUAGGUGGCAAGCGUUGUCCGGAUUUACUGGGCGUAAAGAAUGCGUAGGCGGAUACUUAAGUCAGAUGUGAAAUACCCGAGCUCAACUUGGGUGCUGCAUUUGAAACUGGGUAUCUAGAGUGCGGGAGAGGUAAGUGGAAUUCCUAGUGUAGCGGUGAAAUGCGUAGAGAUUAGGAAGAACACCAGUGGCGAAGGCGACUUACUGGACCGUAACUGACGCUGAGGCAUGAAAGCGUGGGGAGCAAACAGGAUUAGAUACCCUGGUAGUCCACGCCGUAAACGAUGGGUACUAGGUGUGGGAGGUAUCGACCCCUUCCGUGCCGCAGUUAACACAAUAAGUACCCCGCCUGGGGAGUACGGUCGCAAGAUUAAAACUCAAAGGAAUUGACGG